rnacentral:rRNA from 1 species
UACGGAGGGGGCUAGCGUUGUUCGGAAUUACUGGGCGUAAAGCGCACGUAGGCGGCUUUGUAAGUUAGAGGUGAAAGCCCGGGGCUCAACUCCGGAAUUGCCUUAAAGACUGCAUCGCUAGAAUUGUGGAGAGGUAAGUGGAAUUCCGAGUGUAGAGGUGAAAUUCGUAGAUAUUCGGAAGAACACCAGUGGCGAAGGCGACUUACUGGACACAUAUUGACGCUGAGGUGCGAAAGCGUGGGGAGCAAACAGG